AGCUGGUCUUCUACUCCUUUAUGAUGUCAAAGUCAGGCUUCUGCUUACAACACUAGAAUUUUGUUUGUUUGUUUAUUCAGAUCAUGUUGGACCCUAGUAGUCUGCCCAAGUAUUUUAGUCUAAGAGAUGCCAUGGUUAAUUAGCAACUAUGAGAGAGCCCUAUGGGGUAAAUUAUCCUGAUUAUCUUUCCGUCACUGCUGCCUACUUUUGCAGUCAUGAGCACCUUGUUUCUAGCAGUUAAGUGCUGCUACUUAGUCUUUUCCACCCUGGGAUCCAGUCAUGCUCACUGACAUCAGUGAGCCUAUGUCAACGGCAGCAUUUUCCGCCUUCCUACUUGGCCUACCAGGGAACUUUCAAGGUGUUAUUGGCGGGAACCCAGCUCUGAACAUCCAGAGCAGGCGCACGGUCCAGCAGCGCUCCCUGGAGGGCGAUGGCAAAAUAGCAGCCUGUCAGGCCGCAGGAGGAAAGCCGGGGACCAGCUAUAAGGAAACGCGUUUCUGAGGCGUCGCACAGGCAAGGAAAGACUGCGGAGCGCGUGGAGGUGACAGGAAAUAUUGAAAGAUCCCAUUGGCCCUCAAAUAUACAGAAGAUAGUUGGCCUUCUCACACAACCCCUGUCAUCUGUUGACCGCCAAAUUUCACUGCCUACCACCAAGCCAACUUUGGUUAAAUUAUUUUAAAUAUUUUUCAAACUUGAAUUUAUUUUUAUUUUUAUUUUAAUAAAAGUUCUACUAAUCAGGGGCCAACCCCUUGGCCUAGUGGUUAAGUUUGUCAUGCUCUGCUUUAGUGGCCUGGGUUUGUGGGUUCGGAUCCUGGGCACAGACCUAUACCACCCAUCCGCCAUGCUGUGGUGGUGGCCCACAUAUAAAAUGAGGAAGAUUGGC
rnacentral:lncRNA from 1 species